rnacentral:rRNA from 1 species
UACGUAGGGGCGAGCGUUGUCCGGAAUUAUUGGGCGUAAAGAGCGUGUAGGCGGACUCUUAAGUCGGGGGUGAAAUCCUGGAGCUCAACUCCAGAACUGCCUUCGAUACUGGGAGUCUUGAGUUCGGGAGAGGUGAGUGGAACUGCGAGUGUAGAGGUGAAAUUCGUAGAUAUUCGCAAGAACACCAGUGGCGAAGGCGGCUCACUGGCCCGAUACUGACGCUGAGGUGCGAAAGCGUGGGAGCAAACAGG